AUAAAAUAUGCUUUGCCGGCUCGAGGUGAAUUCUUCGAAGAAUAAAUAUAAAAAACGACAACAAGAAACACCUACUUAUUUUUACAUCUUCGCACUCUGUGACCUGGAGCUUCACACUGAUUAGUCCCUAAUAAAUGCCUAUGUAUAUAAAUGAACGCAGUUAUAGGUCUAUGAUAUUUGCUGCAUCGACUGCACUGGCACAGUGGACAACUCCGCCCUUAUGGACGCCUAGUAAAACACGUUCAUACGUAUAUUUUGCAAUUUUCUAGUCCGAUCAAUUAUAUUUGGUGGAUACAAAUUUCUGUAAGACUAAUGAGUGUGCUGCUGCGGCUAUUGAUCCUGAUCAAGAAUACACAUACUUUGUGUCUGUUACAUACAUUUUGACGAUAUAAAAUCACUUGGACCAUUUCAAAGUUCAAUCCUUUGCCUUUUCCUUACUCAGCGAAUUUUCCCAAUCAAAUCAAAGAGAAUGGAAAAGAAGAGCUGCGUGAUGAAGUUCUAAAAACAUAAGAGAAAAGAAUAUGAGCAAACCACAUAAAAAACGAAAUGUGUAGAUAUUACACUGUAAAUAGUUUCUUGACAGUGUCAAGUUUGAGUAAAGUUUUUUUUUUGUGUUUGCAUUAA